AGCGGUGUGGCGCAGUGGAUAGCGUGCUGGGCCCAUAACUCGAAUUCGGGGGGUUUACCCAGAGGUCGAAGGAUCGAGACCUUCCACCGCUA
rnacentral:tRNA from 1 species